rnacentral:rRNA from 1 species
GCUCAGAAACUACAAAGGAAUUGACGGGGGCCCGGCACAAGCGGUGGAGUAUGUGGUUUAAUUCGAUGCAACGCGAAGAACCUUACCUGGUCUUGACAUCCCGGAGACCCUUAGGAAACUAGGGGGUGCUUCCAUCUGGAAGAAUCUGGAGACAGGUGCUGCAUGGCUGUCGUCAGCUCGUGUCGUGAGAUGUUGGGUUAAGUCCCGCAACGAGCGCAACCCUUGCCUUUAGUUGCCAGCAGUUCGGCUGGGCACUCUAAAGGGACUGCCGGUGUUAAACCGGAGGAAGGUGGGGAUGACGUCAAGUCCUCAUGGCCUUUAUGACCAGGGCUACACACGUACUACAAUGGCCGAUACAAAGGGCAGCGACACUGCGAGGUGAAGCCAAUCCCGUAAAAUCGGUCUCAGUCCGGAUUGGAGUCUGCAACUCGACUCCAUGAAGUUGGAAUCGCUAGUAAUCGUGGAUCAGCAUGCCACGGUGAAUACGUUCCCGGGCCUU